UUUGUAUGAUUUAGACUUUUAAAAGGUUUUUCUUUCUUUUUCUUUCUUUCUUUUUUUUUUUUUAAAACAAUCCAUUAUUUUUAUAAGGGAAGAAAAGGGCAAUGAACUAAUCCUCUGACACACUCAGGCAUUGGAUGCAUCAGCAGGUCUUUUUUGGCAGUCUUUUUCAGAAAGACUUUGGAUCAUUGACUUUUCGUUGGCCUUAUAAAGAUGAAUACCCUGCAAGAAGAGGAGAUUCAGGAAUGGCCAAAAGCAGUCUUCUGGAUGUAGAUGUAUGGAGCUGAAAGAUACAACAUGAGUGUCCCUGUUUCUUUAGCAUGAACAUCAUUCAUAGACUCCAUUAAAUGUACACAAGGUUUUUUGUACUGUGGGAUGAGGUAGUAGGUUGUGUAGUUUUAGGGUCACACCCACACUGGGAGAUAACUAUACAGCCUACUGUCUUUCUCAGGGUGACAAGGAAGCAGCUACAUCAUGUUUCAUGUUUGGGUUAAGGUAUAGGGUUUAAAAAAGCCUAUUUAGUUGAGGAAAUUAGAUUAUUUUAGUUCUUUGUUAAAGAUUAUGCUUUCACAGUGUGAGGUAGUAGAUUGUAUAGUUGUGGGAUAGUGAUUUUAUCCUGUCUGGAAGAUAACUAUACAAUCUAUUGCCUUCCCUGAGGGGCAGGGAUUCAUGGUCAGUUUACCUCUUAAAGUUGUUUUAAUAUGAAGUCCAUAAGGAUUAAAUGUUGAGGAAUAAUUCUAUUUUAUUUGUGUGAACAACUGCUUGUGUUUGAAUUCAUGAAUAAAUGCCAUGAGUCUCAUGGCCUAGUUUUUUACUGCAGCUUUUGUAAAUUAUUCAACAAUAAUAGAUUGCUCAAAGGUAUGAAUUCCAUGUUACUCAAAUGUUUGACUAUGAAUGUGUAAUAUUUUUCUGAGAAGUAAAUCCAUGGUUUCCAA